AUUGAACGCUGGCGGCAGGCCUAACACAUGCAAGUCGAGCGGAGCGGCGGACGGGUGAGUAAUACCUAGGAAUCUGCCUGAUCGUGGGGGAUAACGUUCGGAAACGGACGCUAAUACCGCAUCCUAUCAGAUGAGCCUAGGUCGGAUUAGCUAGUUGGUGAGGUAAUGGCUCACCAAGGCUACGAUCCGUAUCUGGUCGGAGCGGAUGAUCAGUCACACGGGAACGGAGGGACGGACCAGACUCCUACGGGAGGCAGCAGUGGGGAAUAUUGGACAAUGGGCGAAAGCCUGAUACAGCCAUGCCGCGUGUGUGAAGAAGGUCUUCGGAUUGUAAAGCACUUUAAGUUGGGAGGCGUUACCGACAGAAUAAGCACCGGCUAACUCUGUGCCAGCAGCCGCGGUAAUUC
rnacentral:rRNA from 1 species